AGUGAACGCUGGCGGCAGGCCUAACACAUGCAAGUCGAACGGUAGCACAGAGGAGCUUGCUCCUUGGGUGACGAGUGGCGGACGGGUGAGGAAUACAUCGGAAUCUACCCUGUCGUGGGGGAUAACGUAGGGAAACUUACGCUAAUACCGCAUACGAACUGAGGUUGAAAGCGGCGGACCGCAAGGCGUCGCGCGACUGGAUGAGCCGAUGUCCGAUUAGCUAGUUGGCGGGGUAAUGGCCCACCAAGGCGACGAUCGGUAGCUGGUCUGAGAGGAUGAUCAGCCACACUGGAACUGAGACACGGUCCAGACUCCUACGGGUGGCAG
rnacentral:rRNA from 1 species